rnacentral:rRNA from 1 species
UACGGAGGGUGCAAGCGUUAAUCGGAAUUACUGGGCGUAAAGCGCACGCAGGCGGCCUGUUACGUCAGAUGUGAAAUCCCCGGGCUUAACCUGGGAACUGCAUUUGAAACUGGCAGGCUUGAGUCUCGUAGAGGGGGGUAGAAUUCCAGGUGUAGCGGUGAAAUGCGUAGAGAUCUGGAGGAAUACCGGUGGCGAAGGCGGCCCCCUGGACGAAGACUGACGCUGAGGUGCGAAAGCGUGGGGAGCAAACAGG